GACAGACCAACCACACCGACCGACCAAGCCAACAAUGGAAACGAUAGUAACGACACCACAGCAUCAGUAGUAUCAUCGACACUAUCUCAACCGCAUCUCUUCAACUUUGGGUUGUACUCGUACACGAAUGCCUCUCAUACAGGAGCAAAAUCCAUACACACUGUGAUUUUUCGUACAUUUAUUAUGUGUCAACAAUAGAUAUCCCCAUGGCCAAACUGAAACCCAAGAGAAUGCUGUAGGACUAACGGAUGAUGAAAAGAGUUCGUUAUUUUUGGUGGCGAUUUUUAUGUGUGCUUAUGAUUUCAAUAAAAAUAAUCCGCUUUAAUAACCUGAUAA
rnacentral:sRNA from 1 species